rnacentral:sRNA from 1 species
ACUCUGUCUAACCCUUUGUUGUCCGACUCUGUUGCCUCCGGUGCGACCCUGCCUUCGGGCGGCGGCUCCGGGUGGACACUUCAAACUCUUGCGUAACUUUGCAGUCUGAGUAAACUUACUUAAUAAAUUAAAACUUUUAACAACGGAUCUCUUGUUUCUGGCAUCGAUGAACAACGCACGAAAUGCAUCAGUUCUGGAAUUGCAAAAAUCUGAAUCAUCAAUCUUUGAAGGCACAUUGCGCCCCCUGGCAUUCCGGGGGGCAUGCCUGUUCAAGCGUCAUUUCACCCCUCAAGCCUCGGUUGGUAUUGGGCAACGCGCUCCGCCGCGUGCCUCCCAUCGGCCGCUGGGUCUUCUGUCCCCUAAGCGUUGUGGAAACUAUUCGCUAAAGGGUGUUCGGGAGGCUACGCCGUAAAACAACCCCAUUUCUAAGGUUGACCUCGGAUCGGAGGGAUACCCGCUGAACUUAAUCAUAUCAAUAACCCGAGGAAGCUCCUCCGGGUGCAAGAUGUUCGAAACGACCCUGCCUUCAUCGGUAGACGUUAUUCUGACAGAGCGUCCUGUGAACCAUGUAUAGAGAGAACCCCCUCUCUAACC